GGGGAUUUAGCUCAGUGGUAGAGCGCUUGCCUAGGAAGCACAGGCCCUGGGUUCGGUCCCCAGCUCCG
rfam:Rattus norvegicus chromosome 17, whole genome shotgun sequence.